GAUGAACGCUGGCGGCGUGCCUAAUACAUGCAAGUCGUACGGAAAGGCCCUUCGGGGUACUCGAGUGGCGGACGGCUGAGUAACGCGUGGGAACGUGCCCCAAAGUGAGGGAUAACGCACCGAAAGGUGUGCUAAUACCGCAUAUGGUCUUCGGAUUAAAGCUUCGGCGCUUUGGGAGCGGCCCGCGUACGGUUAGAUAGUUGGUGAGGUAAUGGCUCACCAAGUCGACGAUCGUUAGCUGGUCUGAGAGGAUGAUCAGCCAGACUGGGACUGAGACACGGCCCAGACUCCUACGGGAGGCAGCAGUAAGGAAUCUUCCACAAUGGGGGCAACCCUGAUGGAGCAACGCCGCGUGCAGGAUGAAGGUUUUCGGAUCGUAAACUGCUUUUAUAAGUGAAGAAUAUGACGGUAACUUAUGAAUAAGGAUCGGCUAACUACGUGCCAGCCGCCGCUGUAAAAC
rnacentral:rRNA from 1 species